GACAGAUAAUUAAGUUUGAUAGGAUCCAUGUUCAUCACCCGAGAGAGACGCGUGGAUAUGAGUACAUGUGCUUCGCCCCCAAAACGGGGAAGCAAGUCCAUUAUAAGUUUGUGGUCCCACCAGUCCUUUUCACUCUCCAAGUUAUCAAUUACCAGCAAGAACGGAAUGUCUCGCAUAAGUUCUUUCCUAACCCUAGCUACAGCAGCCUCUUCUUGCUCCUCGAAG
rnacentral:lncRNA from 1 species